UUUGCGAUGGGUCUUAGCAAUCCAAUCUGCGACUAGAUUUGUAUCUCGUGGACAGUGUGCCAGAGAAAUACCUUGCGAAUGAGACAAAAGAAGGUUGCAUUCCUCAAAAAGUUUUCUCAAAGCCCAUGGGCUGAGGGACGGAUGCUCUGUGUAUCUAACAGAAGCCAUGUUGUCUGUCAUGAUAGUCACUUUCAAAGUUGGACUUCUUUCCUUCUCUGUCUCUUCACGCAGACAGCGUAUAGCUUCCCUCACCGCUAAGCCUUCGACUUCCAGAGGAGAACAAGCAGCAACCCCUUUUGCAAACCCAGUAAUUAUCAAACCCCUAUAAUCUCUACAUACGCCGCCCACCGAUCCCUCUGUUCCGCCUUCAAUCCACGAGCCAUCCACGUUGAAUUUCCAAUGCCCUGUUUCUGGUUGAGUCCAAUGUUCUGUCGAAAGCUUCUCCGACCAGAUAUUGCGAUCGGGAGAGUUCUACGUGAGGUAGAGUCUGCUCAUAUUGAUGGCUUCGUUGACAAUUGCUCCCGGUUUGGGGUUGAUUCUUUAGAACACAUGGGUGUUUCUGGCUUUCCAAAUCUGCCAUAAAAUUCCUGCGAUCAUAGCUCGGUGGGUCGGAUUGCCGCCGUCCAGAUAUGCUUUGUCCAGUCGCAGAUUAAGAAGAUGUGCUCCACGGACUCUAGAAUUUGCCGGCAGAUUGGGCAAAGCGAGCGAAGGUUGCUGGAUCUUCCUCAGGGUCGCACCAAGUUUCCUUUACCAGCUUCUCACAUUCGGUAUCAGCAAGCCAAAAGGCCUCGAACUUGAAUUCCUUUUUCCUUAUAGCCCACUAUGGGUGGAGGGAUAAGAGGAUUGGACUAUGGUCGGAGCCUAUUGCAGGUAAGGCGUAGGCUUCCGCGUUUGGGUAACGAACUCUCCAAUUAAUGUUGCACAGGACUCUAUCUAGCCUCUUACGCACUAAAGCUGUGCCUUCCCUGUUCUUGGCCCAUGUGAAGGCGCAGCCCUUGCUUUCAAUGUCCAUUAGUGAGCAUUUGUUAAGACAUUCUUGGAAGGCAACAAGCCUGUAGUGCUCCGCCAACACCCACCCUUCUUUUCCCAGUGGUACAGUAUUUCAUUAAAAUCUCCAGCGCAUAUCCAAGGAAGAUGAUUAGCUGCGUUUAUCACCUGUAAAUGAUGCCACAGUCGAAGUCUUUCCUAGAAGUUUGUAGGGGCAUACAGGAAGGUUAUUCACAUAGGGUUGCCGUUAUCUUGUUCCCUACACACUAUAUCAAAAAACUCUCUGGAUUUAUCUUCCACUGCAACUGACACCCCUUCAUUCCACAAUAUGGCCAGCCCCCCUGCGGUACCUGUAGGAUCGUAAAUCUCCAUGUUUUGGAAUUGUAUCCGCCUCCUCACUCUGUCGACUAAUUCACUCUUGUUCUUUGUUUCCAUAAAAAAGAUUAAGUCAGACCUUUCUUGAGCCACUAAGGCUCUGAGGUGCUGGACUGUCAGGGGAUUGCCCAACCCUUGACAAUUCCAGCUCAAAAGUUUUAUAUAAUCCCUGGUGGCUUAUUAGGGCUAGCCACCAAAGCCCAUUCGUUCCUUUCUUCUGCCAAAUGGAUCGGAGCAUCUAGGAGAGCCGCCUCGUUGAUGGAGGGGCUGAGAAUCUCCAUUAGACCAAUGGGGUUGAUCUUUUUCUGUUUUCUAGCUGUUGCUACUUUCUUGAAAGGUUUCGGUCCUAUCUUAUCCUUUCUAGGCUUCUUUGCCUGCCCUUUCUUUGUUGCCGUCUCAGAAGGGAUGACUUGGGAGAUGAGCUCCUCAAAGGUAAACUGAUUUUUCCUUGAAUUCUCUGCUAGAGAGUUCCUCUUACUAGGCCUCUCCUCUUGGCAUUUAUCCUCGAUCAUUCCUACAGCAGCAUAUCCCUUGGAGUAGCGUAAUUCUAACUCCCUUGGGAUGAUUUCCGUACGCGUCUCUGGGAUUAUCUCCACUUCCUCAUGGGUAAGUAUGUCUUUUCCAUAGAA